rnacentral:lncRNA from 1 species
AGAAGUCUGUCUAUAAUAAAGUGAUGCUCUGCCUUCUUAACAACACUAUCAACAAGGCAGGUCCUACAGGCCCUAGUUUCUACCUUCUUAACAACACUAUCAACAAGGCAGGUCCUACAGGCCCUAGUUUCUACCGUCUUAACAACACUAUCAACAAGGCAGGUCCUACAGGCUCUAGUUUCUACCUUCUUAACAACACUAUCAAACAAGGCAGGUCCUACAGGCUCUAGUUUCUACCUUCUUAACAACCACUAUCAACAAGGCGGUCCUACAGGCUCUAGUUUCUACCUUCUUAACAACACUAUCAACAAGGCAGGUCCUACAGGCCCUAGUUUCUACCUUCUUAACAACACUAUCAACAAGGCAGGUCUUACAGGCCCUAGUUUCUACCGUCUUAACAACACUAUCAACAAGGCAGGUCUUACAGGCCCUAGUUUCUACCUUCUUAACAACACUAUCAACAAGGCAGGUCCUACAGGCCCUAGUUUCUACCUUCUUAACAACACUAUCAACAAGGCAGGUCUUACAGGCCCUAGUUUCUACCUUCUUAACAACACUAUCAACAAGGCAGGUCCUACAGGCCCUAGUUUCUACCUUCUUAACAACACUAUCAACAAGGCAGGUCCUACAGGCCCUAGUUUCUACCUUCUUAACAACACUAUCAACAGGCAGGUCUUACAGGCCCUAGUUUCUACCUUCUUAACAACACUAUCAACAAGGCAGGUCCUACAGGCCCUAGUUUCUACCUUCUUAACAACACUAUCAACAAGGCAGGUCCUACAGGCCCUAGUUUCUACCUUCUUAACAACACUAUCAACAAGGCAGGUCUUACAGGCCCUAGUUUCUACCUUCUUAACAACACUAUCAACAAGGCAGGUCCUACAGGCCCUAGUUUCUACCUUCUUAACAACACUAUCAACAAGGCAGGUCCUACAGGCUCUAGUUUCUACCUUCUUAACAACACUAUCAACAAGGCAGGUCUUACAGGCCCUAGUUUCUACCGUCUUAACAACACUAUCAACAAGGCAGGUCCUACAGGCCCUAGUUUCUACCUUCUUAACAACACUAUCAACAAGGCAGGUCCUACAGGCCCUAGUUUCUACCUUCUUAACAACACUAUCAACAAGGCAGGUCCUACAGGCCCUAGUUUCUACCUUCUUAACAAC